UACGUAGGGGGGCAAGCGUUGUCCGGAAUCAUUGGGCGUAAAGAGCGUGUAGGCGGCUCGAUAAGUCCGCUGUGAAAGUCCAGGGCUCAACCCUGGAAGGCCGGUGGAAACUGUCGGGCUAGAGUCCGGAAGAGGCGAGUGGAAUUCCCGGUGUAGCGGUGAAAUGCGCAGAUAUCGGGAGGAACACCAAUGGCGAAGGCAGCUCGCUGGGACGGUACUGACGCUGAGACGCGAAAAGCGUGGGGAGCAAACAGG
rnacentral:rRNA from 1 species